UCCUCUUCCUGGGGCUUGCCCUUUCCCUUCUUCUCCUUUUCCUCCUGCUUCUUAGGUGGCUUCACCUUGCGUUGAACAGCUUUUCCUUUCCCUGGGAGGAAAAUCAAAGUGAAAUAACUGUUGAGUUUAAAACAGUGUAGAAAACAAAUCCAUUCUGAAUAUAUUUUUUGGAUGAGUCUGGAGUCUUCUGAUUCACAAAGGUUUCUUUUCUUCUAUGAGUUUUCUCUCAUUGAAACUUUCCAAAUCAUGCUCUGUGAUUAGAAUAACAUCAGCUUUAUUGAGGGGUAAUUCAUGCACUAUAGAGUAUCCCCACUUUCAGUGACUAUGUUGACCAAUUUCUAUAGAGUCAGUCUGAGAAUACUUUUUUGUUCUCCAGAAGAUGAUGGAGCCUUUAAAAAUUGCCCAAGUGAAAAGCAGAGAUACUGUGACUCGUCAGAGAUGGAAUCCAAUGGUGACACGCACCCUGAGCUGCCUUUGUAUGUCCCCCCCGAAGGCUGCCAAGGCCUCAGCGGAACCACGAUGGCUGCAUUCAAGCCCUGCCUCUCCCUUACCCUGCUGCAUGACUUGACCUCUCAUCCCCGAGACGGGAAGACCUUAAACAGCUCAGAGCAGGGCUGGCAGUGGUUUCCAAGGACUCCUUCACCUUCUCAUUGCAAAUGACGUUCUCCUCCCUCAAGAUGCAGAACGCGCCCUUCCCCGCCCUGCAGGCCCCACCCCCACCAUCUCCACUGUGCUGGCUUCAUCUUUACUUGGGUGCCCUGCCCUAGUGACCUCCUUCUGGACUUCCGUUUUCCUUUUAUGUUCUCCCAGGAACUCAGUUCAAUGAAAUAAGUAUAAGCACUCCAAGCCCAAGCUUCCCAACUGAGUUAACUAAAUACCCUAAAAAACA